GAUAGCUCAGCGGGUUAGAGCAUGGGGCUGAUAAUGCCAAGGCUGCAGGUUCGAUCCCUGUAUGGGACA